UUGAAAGGGAAACGAUUGAAGUCAGUCGUACCGACGGAGGAUCAACCUUUGAAAGCGGGUCGAGGUAUUCGAGGAGUUUAAAAGCCCUCUUGCGCUCACGUACUUCGUUUUCUUUGGUGCACUUCUUCGUAUGGUAGGUUAACAUCAAUCUUCAACGUUACAAAAACAAAAUGAUGAGGGGAAUGUAGCUUCGAUUUUUUCGAAGUGUUAUAGACCUUGGUAGAUGUGACGACCGGGAUUGAGGAUUGCAACGAAUGCUUUCGGGCUAUCCGUCUGACCUCUGGUGGUUGCUUUAGGGUCGAAAGCGUGCUUACGACUUUAAAGUUGGCUAUCAAAAGGCUAGAACGUGAUUAAAUUCGUUAAGGAUGUUGACGUA
rnacentral:rRNA from 1 species